UGGUGAAGGAGGAGGGGUGUGAGGAGGGUCUGGGGAACCCUGAGUGGAACAUGGUUAUGGAGGACAACCAGACGACAUCUCCUCCUGAAACCACAGAGGAACCAGCUGAGCAGCACAGGACCACACACAGUCUCACUGAGUCAGUAGACAUGGAGGAUGGGAAGCCUGAUCUGUUGCUGGUCAAAGAGGAGAAAAGAGGAUGGACCAAAGAGCAUUGACCUGCUGAGUGGACUAAAGAUGGGGGAGCAAGGUAAUUGACUCAAAUUCCAUUGGGCCCGUGGGACGACAUCACUGAGCAAGCCAGGAACAAAGGCAACAUAGUGGAGGUCAGUGGAUGGGACAGCAUCCUCAACUGUUAACCACAACUAGAAACAAACAGUCGAACACAAAACGACAAACUAACUUAGUCUCCAUGACAACAGGGUAGUCUGUGGGGACAGUAUACGGCAGGAGAGAAAAGAUUUGGCUAGAGAUGUUCCGCCCUGCUCCUAUAAUUGUGAUUCAGAGAGACUGAUGCCACCUCAGGUUAACCCCCUAACAGGUGCCUGCCUUCUAUAGGAUCUAUCAACUGGAACAUGGACCCUGAGACAACACAGACACUCUCCUGUCCUUCGUCCUCCUCACACUCUCCUAAUGUUAAAUCUGUCCUCAGACGAUGCCUGAAGACUAAAUGGCUACACAAGCCCAUGACAAAUGACAGUAGUAGAGAUGUAAACAGUAAAGUUGGCAGCGCCAAAGAGAAGCGCUUCCUGUGUUCAUUCUGUAGGAAAACCUUCAGUUUCCCCAAACAGGCUGAGAUCCACCAGAGGGUCCACACAGGGGAGAAACUAUACAGCUGCCACCAGUGUGAGAAGAGGUUCUCCCACCAGCACCAGCUGAAGAUGCACCUGAAGGUCCAUAAGGGAGAAAGGCUGUGCCUGUAUGCACAGCAUGUAAUAUAGUACUAAUUCGUUUGUAGUUAAUUAUGUUGGUUUUGGAUGUAUAGGGAACUAGAUGAGGUGAACUGAGGAAAUAAUGAGUAUGAUGAGGCAGAGUAGAUAUGGUGAUGGUUGGUGUGAUGGUGUCUGUAAAAAUGCUUCACUGAAGAUGUGACAAACUUUAUCCCUUUAGAGACUGGUGUUUAUAGUGAGAUAAUGAUAGUGCCUUAAUUAAUGUUUACUUGACAUGAAGUAGUGAAGCUGUGUGUUAUGUAAUGUUGAACCUUUUUUAAAGUAUUCUCAAAUGUAUUUUAUCAAAGCGAGAGUACCACAUUUACUCAAAAGGAAAAGUGUUACCAUAGUGAGAAGUUAUUCUUCUUUUCACUUAUCGUUUUCUGCAAUAAAUGUGAUUUGUAAUGCCGUUUUGUUGAAAUGAAAUACUAAAUUGCUGUUCUGACAGACUUGGUUAUUUUUGUAUCAUUGUAGAGACAGUGUUGGCUCCAUAUUGUUAAGUACUUGAAUCCCAGUGUUAGAGAUGGGCUUGACUGUGGUUAACAUGUAAUAAUAUGCCAUGUUUGUGGGUAAAGCAAAGGGUUUAUUUUAUAAACCGUUAUGCUUUUCCUUACAACCUUUGUUUGCAGUCUGCAGUCCAUGAAGAGCUGCUGAUAUCCAGUGUUACUGGCGGGAGAGACUGGACCUCUGAGACGGAUGGUCACAAAUCUUGAACCAGGACAAUGCAUCAGGAGCCAUUCCUGAGUCAGAACCCAACCGUGAGGGACAGAGACUCCACCACAACCAUUACACACAGUGCCUUCAGAAAGUAUUCACACCCCUUGACUUUUUCCACAUUUUGUUGUGUUACAGUCUGAAUUUAAAAUGGAUUAAAUGUAGAUGAGUUGUGUUACUGGCCUACACACAAAACCCCAU